AACAGGACAAGAAGCUCAACAAAGGCCCAGAGCUGCCACUAUUACAAGGCAGCAAAUGGCAGUGAAAAGCAGGAUUUCCUUGACCCUUUUGCUCUGCUCUCACUCCCUGUGCUCCAUUUCAGGCAGCGGCCAAGCCGUGUCCUGACUCAGCUGCCCUGCACACUGCUGCACCUGCUCAUGAGCAUUCAUACCCAUGUGAUUAGCCAGGGCCGUGGCCUGGGGGAGGUGCAUGCUGCACUCACCAAUGGCCCAGGCUGCAGUACUGGCUGCUCAUGACAGAAGAAGGGACUGGCAAGUGGUGAAACUGGAAUGCACCACUUUUAGUUGUUGGGAAGACAAAUGUCUGUGAGCUGAUACAAGAGAAGCAAUCUGCUUGAAACAGUCUCAUCAGAAAAGUUGUACAGGCAGAUGGGGACAUUCAAGAAGUCAGCUGAGAGAGACACGUGUGAAGUUCAGGGACAUCACCAAACAGACCAACAUGAGAAGAAUACAGACUUUUGUACAUAUUUAAAGAGGCUGUUAAAGGAGAUCAUCUACAAUUGUUUGCUUAACCAGAUGAACUGUACAUCCAGUGGAUUGAACUCCCUAAUGUAUGCAUCUCAUUAUAAUUCCCAAGGCACUGGUCCAACAUGCUUAACAGAGGAAAACAAAACAAAACAAAACAAAAACAACUAACCACAAAUCAUUAUUUAGUCUUGUAAGUUUAUAUUUGCUAGGUGUUGAAAAUGACCUAAACAGAAAGAAGACAAGUCAAAUGCUAAGGCUAUGCUCAAUAAAGGUCAGGAGAGAGAUGUUAGUCCA
rnacentral:lncRNA from 1 species